rnacentral:tRNA from 1 species
UGCGGGCUGGUGUAAUGGCAACACGCCUGCCUCUGGAGCAGGAAUUCGGGGUUCGAGUCCCUGGCCCGCAGCCU